GCAGGUUCUCUUGGAAGGUGAACUGAAUAGUGGGGAAGGGAGCACCAAAGAUCAGAGCCAAAGGAGCAUCGGUCCUGCUGUGGUGUUGCUUCUGCCUUAGCAGGGACAGCAAAGGUUCUUCUCAGUUAAAAACACAACUCAUAAAACAAGACAACUACCAGAUCCUGCAGAUUUCCUUCCUUCAGAAGUGUGGGAGCCUCACGCCCAGGGAGUGACUGCUUUUCCCUGGACACAAAAAGGAAAACUCACGGUGUGCUCAGAUAAAAGUGUCAGCAUUGCCUAGAGAAGAUGCUGAGAGGAAAAAUGAGCUGGAAGGCACAUCUGCAGCCCCAGAUCACAUUUUCACUUGCUUGAGUGUGUCAGAGUAUCCGACACUGCGACGUUGGACUCUCCUUGGGCACAGAAAUCCUGACUGACAGUUCAGAAUGGAAGCAGGGAAAUACUGAAUUCAUGGGCAGGAAAUGGACAUAAUUCAUUCUAAGGAAAAAAAAAUCAACUUGGAAAAGCACCCUGAACUUCUCCUACACCCACGUGACGGGAUGGAACCGCGAUGGCUUCCGAGAUGGCUGGAAAACUGCUCCUGACAUGGAUGGCAUCAUCACCACGGAGGGGCUUCUGCACAAAGAAUCCCAAAGCCUAUAAAGUCAUUAAAAAUUGUGCAUCGAAGGCACAGUAAGAUGUUGUGCUAUACGGAUCGGGGAAAAAAAAGAGGCGGAAUUCAGUGCUUCUGUUCUAGAGAGUAACAACAUUUGCCUUCCAACUACUGAGAAUCCACGUUCCUAAAGCGUGUGCCAGGACACCAC